rnacentral:rRNA from 1 species
UACGUAGGGUGCGAGCGUUGUCCGGAAUUAUUGGGCGUAAAGAGCUUGUAGGUGGCUCGUUGCGUCGGGAGUGAAAACCUGCGGCUUAACCGCAGGCCUGCUUCCGAUACGGGCGAGCUAGAGUUCGGCAGGGGAGACUGGAAUUCCUGGUGUAGCGGUGGAAUGCGCAGAUAUCAGGAGGAACACCGGUGGCGAAGGCGGGUCUCUGGGCCGAUACUGACACUGAGAAGCGAAAGCGUGGGGAGCGAAACAGG